AUUGAACGCUGGCGGCAGGCCUAACACAUGCAAGUCGAGCGGAUGAAGGGAGCUUGCUCCUGGAUUCAGCGGCGGACGGGUGAGUAAUGCCUAGGAAUCUGCCUGGUAGUGGGGGAUAACGUCCGGAAACGGGCGCUAAUACCGCAUACGUCCUGAGGGAGAAAGUGGGGGAUCUUCGGACCUCACGCUAUCAGAUGAGCCUAGGUCGGAUUAGCUAGUUGGUGGGGUAAAGGCCUACCAAGGCGACGAUCCGUAACUGGUCUGAGAGGGUGAUCAGUCACACUGGAACUGAGACACGGUCCAGACUCCUACGGGAGGCAGCAGUAGGGAAUAUUGGACAAUGGGCGAAAGCCUGAUCCAGCCAUGCCGCGUGUGUGAAGAAGGUCUUCGGAUUGUAAAGCACUUUAAGUUGGGAGGAAGGGCAGUAAGUUAAUACCUGGCUGUUUUGACGGUACCAACAGAAUAAGCACCGGCUAACUUCGUG
rnacentral:rRNA from 1 species